GUGUGUGUAUUUAUGUUUGCUGUGUGUCUUCAGUCCUUGUCCAUUCAUUGUAGCGUGUAGACACUCUGUCUGUAGUAGUGGUUGUUGCUUGUCGUGCUCUGUCUUGUGUGUUGCCCUCUGCGUGCUCGUUUUGUGUGGAUUUGGAUUUCCUUUAAGUUACUUAUUUUGGAUUCUUGAAUUCUACCACUAGGGUACUGCUGCUCGUCUGUCCUCUGCAGGUCCUGCCCCCCCCCUUCUGAUGUUGCAGCCAGGAGGCUAGGGUGCACACCUGUCCCCACUUUACAAUCAUCGGGAGCGCAGGAGCCAGUAUAAGGAGCAGAGAGCAGGCAGACUAGGUGUGGAGAGUGUGGAGUGCAGACGGCAUGGAGAGCUGGGUGAAACUGCAGUGCAGCGAGUGGCAAGUCUGAACCUCGUGGUGGGGUUCACUCCCUCAGUGGAGGGAGGGUGGUAUUCAUUAUUGUAUCUUAUGUUAUUUUCGCAUUUGUGGCAUUUGUUUUCCUGUGAGCUGCCCUUCUAGUUUGCAGUUUGCUGACAUGUUGUCCCAACAGUAUCCAGACUGGGUGCUUCCUUGUUUUUGGGAAGUUGUUUUUUGUAGAGCCUCCCCAAGGGUACCUUAGCAUUUUUCUUUAUUGUAAAUAAAACGCCAAAUGUACUGUAAAA